CACUUCAUUUUUGAUUCUUCGUCCCCUCUCCCUGAGUCUUUGAUCGUUUACUUCUCUGUUUCUUUACUUGAUCUCUAGCUUAUAGCUGCAAAUUUGUUAGAUCUCUGUCUGUUUCUAGCUCUUGUUGCAAUCAUUAGAACUUUUAGCGUGCACCAUUUCAAGUUCAGCUUAUUCUUCGUAUUAGUAUUUCCCAAUCACCGUAUUUUUUGGUCGCUACCCACUUCAGCUUACCAGCUUUUCUC
rnacentral:misc_RNA from 1 species